rnacentral:snoRNA from 1 species
GCCAGUGAUGACAGUUUUUGGUUGACUGAAAUGCAGAUUUAGUAUAUGCACCAUGUCAGAAACUUAUGAACUAGGACGGUCUGUGGC